AUAAAAGUGAUUGGAACUUUUUCGGACUGAUUUUACAAAGCGAUAAGAGCGCAGCCAAUGAAAUAUUUAUGCAUUUCAUACAUGUGUAUAUAAACUAUAUGUGUGUAUACAAAGAGCAAGUCUUUUUAUUCGGGUCUUCUGAUAAAUUUCGUUGGCAACUUAUUCGCCAAUCGCUUUCGCAGAGUUUCUCACAAGACAACUGCAAUUUGAGCGCCUAGAAAAUAAAAACCGAAUAGGAAACUUUGUGGCCGGCAUGAGAACAAACCAAGUACUAAACGAAAUCAAGCCAAACCAAACCAAACCGAAACGAGCCAACGAAAAAAAAUAAAAGAAUCUAAAGUGGCGAGCGAACCCUAUAAUCGAAAUCGAUUUCGCAAUGAGGGGAAGCGACACCUACAAAGGGGCUAUCAGCCCACCACCCGAUCCCAAGACCGUUGAAAUGGCACCUCGACGAAGACGAUUUGCCAAAUUUGCUAAACUUACAAACUGAUGGCCAUGUCGUGAUGGGUAUUCUCUGUAUUUUCCGCUCGAGUUUCUAUGUGUGCGAAUUGCUGUGUGUUUGCAUGGCUUUGUUAGUAAAUUAUGUUAAUUGUAUUCUUCUUCGACUGUCACCGUAUCAAACUCUGCCUGGCAGGCCAGCCAACUCGGGCCCAUCAGUCCCACCAGCACCAACACCACCAGUACCCGUACCAGCUCCACUCGGAAUCCCAAUCCCAGACACCAAAGCAAAAAAAACACAAUAAAAUCAGCCAAAUAUUGGCAAGCCGAAAUUGGAAUACACUUGGGGGUGUACAACCACUUAAUCCAUUCAUCUUCUGGUGCCAAGGGAGUUGGGAUCCCAAAUUAAGAGGCAGGAAAUGUGGGACAACUCAAUUGCAAAUCGUUGUUUGCCCUGCUCGAUUGCAUUUGCUGAAUAGGUUAAUAUGCGAACCACUCCAAUAACUUCUCUUUAAGGAUGCGAAACCUUUUAACCCGAAAUCAGCGAGGGUAUACAAUAAAUUGGGAAACAAGCGUACGCUCUUCUCUUACAUACAGAUAUCCGUGUGUAUUUGUGGGUACCCCAAAUAUAAGGUUAUGUAC